CCGCGUGCGGGAGUUUGACAGAGGCAGCGAGGAGGUGGUGGGUUCCGCCAUCCCUGGCUCCGAGAAAGGCCAGAGCCAAGACGGAACUGAGCGGUCUAUGACCCACUGCGCUCCCUCUAAACCCCCAAACUAAUACCCUGCAUAUGCAGGACUGCCGUGAUACUAGGUCCUCAUCGCCUGCUUGUGGGUUCUCUCCUCUGAAAAGUCAGAGAACAAGGGUUGAGGGAGGCACGACCAUCCAGACAGUCGCUAAAGGAACAGAGACUCAAAGGCUCUACGUCAGAUUCCUGGGUCACAGAGAAAAAUAAGACCAGCCCCUUGAUCUCAAGUCCUGCCAAUCUAGAGUGGAGACCUCCAGGACAAGAGGGAACCGAGGCCCAGAGAAUUGGAAUGACCUUCCAGAUUUCACAAAGACCCAGCGCUGGACCAAUCCCCCAUCUGCCCAGGUGCAGGCCAGCACUUCUCUCAAAUACAGCCAUCUUUGGAGGUAAUCGGGGAAGGGGAGAAGCUGUAAGUGGGUGCAGCGUGCCUCUUUCCCUACUCCUUACCUUUGGCCCUAUUGAGUGGAUCUGGACUGUCCCCCACCCCCCUGCACGCUUCAUAGGGCGAUAUCACAGCAAUCAGGAAUCCUAAC